rnacentral:rRNA from 1 species
GCUCAACCGGGGAGGGUCAUUGGAAACUGGGGAACUUGAGUGCAGAAGAGGAGAGUGGAAUUCCACGUGUAGCGGUGAAAUGCGUAGAGAUGUGGAGGAACACCAGUGGCGAAGGCGACUCUCUGGUCUGUAACUGACGCUGAGGAGCGAAAGCGUGGGGAGCGAACAGGAUUAGAUACCCUGGUAGUCCACGCCGUAAACGAUGAGUGCUAGGUGUUAGGGGGUUUCCGCCCCUUAGUGCUGCAGCUAACGCAUUAAGCACUCCGCCUGGGGAGUACGGUCGCAAGACUGAAACUCAAAGGAAUUGACGGGGGCCCGCACAAGCGGUGGAGCAUGUGGUUUAAUUCGAAGCAACGCGAAGAACCUUACCAGGUCUUGACAUCCUCUGACAAUCCUAGAGAUAGGACGUCCCCUUCGGGGGCAGAGUGACAGGUGGUGCAUGGUUGUCGUCAGCUCGUGUCGUGAGAUGUUGGGUUAAGUCCCGCAACGAGCGCAACCCUUGAUCUUAGUUGCCAGCAUUCAGUUGGGCACUCUAAGGUGACUGCCGGUGACAAACCGGAGGAAGGUGGGGAUGACGUCAAAUCAUCAUGCCCCUUAUGACCUGGGCUACACACGUGCUACAAUGGACAGAACAAAG